UCGAGGAUCUUCGGCAAUGGGCGCAAGCCUGACCGAGCGACGCCGCGUGUGCGAUGAAGGCCUUCGGGUUGUAAAGCACUGUCGAGGGGGAGGAAAGCCCGCAAGGGUCUGACCUAACCCUGGAGGAAGCACGGGCUAAGUUCGUGCCAGCAGCCGCGGUAAGACGAACCGUGCGAACGUUGUUCGGAAUCACUGGGCUUAAAGGGCGCGUAGGCGGGCCGCCAAGUCGGGGGUGAAAUCUUUCGGCCUAACCGGAAAAGGGCCUUCGAUACUGGCGGUCUGGAGUGGGGUAGGGGCAUGCGGAACUUCCGGUGGAGCGGUGAAAUGCGUAGAUAUCGGAAGGAACGCCGGUGGCGAAAGCGGCGUGCUGGACCCCGACUGACGCUGAGGCGCGAAAGCCAGGGGAGCGAACGGGAUUAGAUACCCCCGUAGUCC
rnacentral:rRNA from 1 species